UACGGAGGGUGCAAGCGUUGUUCGGAAUCAUUGGGCGUAAAGCGCGUGUAGGCGGCCUGGCAAGUCAGUUGUGAAAGCCCGGGGCCCAACCCCGGAACUGCAUCUGAAACUGCCUGGCUCGAGUCCCGGAGAGGAAGGCAGAAUUCCCGGUGUAGGGGUGAAAUCCGUAGAUAUCGGGAGGAAUACCAGCGGCGAAGGCGGCCUUCUGGACGGUGACUGACGCUGAGACGCGAAAGCGUGGGGAGCAAACAGG
rnacentral:rRNA from 1 species